rnacentral:rRNA from 1 species
GAUGAACGCUUGGCGGCGUGCCUCAAACAUGCAAGUCGAGCGGGGCUAUGUAAUAUCGCAAGGUAGAACAUAGCCUAGCGGCGAACGGGUGAGUAACACGUGGGUAACCUGCCUGGAAGACAGGGAUAACGAUUCGAAAGGGUCGCUAAUACCUGAUAAUAUCCUUUCAUCGCAUGGUGAUAGGAAGAAAGGGGAAACCCGCUUUCAGAUGGGCCCGCGUCCCAUCAGCUAGUUGGUAAGGUAAAGGCUUACCAAGGCGACGACGGGUAGCCGGUCUGAGAGGAUGUACGGCCACACUGGGACUGAGAUACGGCCCAGACUCCUACGGGAGGCAGCAGUUGGGAAUCUUAGGCAAUGGACGAAAGUCUGACCUAGCGACGCCGCGUGAGGGAAGAAGGCCUUCGGGUUGUAAACCUCUGUCAUGGGGGAAGAAGGAAGUGACGGUACCCCAAGAGGAAGCCCCUGCUAACUACGUG